rnacentral:rRNA from 1 species
AGAGUUUGAUCCUGGCUCAGAUUGAACGCUGGCGGCAUGCCUUACACAUGCAAGUCGAACGGCAGCACGGGUGCUUGCACCUGGUGGCGAGUGGCGAACGGGUGAGUAAUACAUCGGAACAUGUCCUGUAGUGGGGGAUAGCCCGGCGAAAGCCGGAUUAAUACCGCAUACGAUCUACGGAUGAAAGCGGGGGACCUUCGGGCCUCGCGCUAUAGGGUUGGCCGAUGGCUGAUUAGCUAGUUGGUGGGGUAAAGGCCUACCAAGGCGACGAUCGGUAGCUGGUCUGAGAGGACGACCAGCCACACUGGGACUGAGACACGGCCCAGACUCCUACGGGAGGCAGCAGUGGGGAAUUUUGGACAAUGGGCGAAAGCCUGAUCCAGCAAUGCCGCGUGUGUGAAGAAGGCCUUCGGGUUGUAAAGCACUUUUGUCCGGAAAGAAAUCCUUGGCUCUAAUACAGUCGGGGGAUGACGGUACCGGAAGAAUAAGCACCGGCUAACUACGUGCCAGCAGCCGCGGUAAUACGUAGGGUGCAAGCGUUACUCGGAAUUACUGGGCGUAAAGCGUGCGUAGGUGGUGAUUUAAGUCCGUUGUGAAAGCCCUGGGCUCAACCUGGGAAUUGCAGUGGAUACUGGGUCACUAGAGUGUGGUAGAGGGUAGCGGAAUUCCCGGUGUAGCAGUGAAAUGCGUAGAGAUCGGGAGGAACAUCUGUGGCGAAGGCGGCUACCUGGACCAACACU